AAGCUGGAUGCUUUGAUCUUUCAAGCUUAAUUAACAAACAGAAAGUGGAUUCUGAAAAUAGCUCCGAAACUAACACCAGCAUUAUUAAGACUAUUAAAGCCGUUAGUUUCGAUGCAUUCGAUAUAAUUAGAAAAGGAUAUUCGAUAACGCCCUUUACAGCAUCAAACAUUCAAUUUUUAUUUUCUAAAAAAGAUGUUUCUCUCCCCUUUUCUUUAACAUAUGGGAGCACGUUUAAUACCAGUAGUAAUAUUGAAGUCGUCACGUAUUCAAUGGGGGUUCCGAAGAUCUUCGAAGUUUUAAAUUUUCCCGUUGGGAAGCACAUCGCUGUCAAUAAUUAUUUCCUUGCUUACUCAAUUCUGGUUAAAAGUGAUUUUUGGAUUCGCGUGACGAGCUUAACUUCUAAAGCCACUCAACUUUUGAAAUUUUUUACUUAUCCGAUUGCGGAUAUGGCAUUCAUUGGUGAGCAGAACGAUCAGCUUGCCGUUGUAGAUCUUUCAGGAACCUUCAAGAUAUUUCGGUUUUCUGAGGAAACUGACGAUUCUAACUUUUCUAUCAAAUAUGAUCUUCUUUUCCUUGUCACUCGUGAAUUCAACGCUCAACUUAUUUUUUCUGAAAGGCGUAACCGCGUUAUCCCAUGCAACUCUGGAAUUGUUGGGGUGGUCUGCCAGAAUUCACUGGACUUACUGGACCUGAACAUUCUAUUAUCCAAUAAAAAUGGAGCUGUUAUUCUUAGAAGAGAAGCUUUAGAUGAGGGCCUUUUUAC